GUGGAUUAGAUACCCUGGUAGUCCUAGCCGUAAACGAUGGACACUAGGUGUUGGUGGUAUCAACCCCGCCAGUGCCGAAGCUAACGCAUUAAGUGUCCCGCCUGGGGAGUACGGCCGCAAGGCUAAAACUCAAAGGAAUUGACGGGGCCCCGCACAAGCAGCGGAGCGUGGGGUUUAAUUCGACGCAACGCGAAGAACCUUACCAGGGCUUGACAUGACCAGGACAGCGGCGGAAACGUCGCCUCCCCGCAAGGGGCCUGGCCACAGGUGUUGCAUGGCUGUCGACAGCU
rnacentral:rRNA from 1 species